CCUACGGGCGGCUGCAGUGGUGAAUAUUGGGCAAUGGGCGCAAGCCUGACCCAGCAACGCCGCGUGAAGGAAGAAGGCUUUCGGGUUGUAAACUUCUGUUGUCAGGGACGAAGCAAGGGACGGGACCUGACGAAUAAGCCACGGCUAACUACGUGCCAGCAGCCGCGGUAAUACGUAGGUGGCAAGCGUUAUCCGGAUUUACUGGGUGUAAAGGGUGCGUAGGCGGGCUUUUAAGUCAGCGGUAAAAAUUCGGGGCUCAACACCGUCCGGCCGUUGAAACUGGGGGCCUUGAGUGGGCGAGAAGAAGGCGGAAUGCGUGGUGUAGCGGUGAAAUGCAUAGAUAUCACGCAGAACCCCGAUUGCGAAGGCAGCCUUCCGGCGCCCUACUGACGCUGAGGCACGAAAGUGCGGGGAUCGAACAGGAUUAGAUACCCGAGUAGUC
rnacentral:rRNA from 1 species